rnacentral:lncRNA from 13 species
GUAGAGUGCUUUACAGAAAAAUAGUAGAAUAACUGGGGGAGUUUUGAAUGCAGUCUUGAAAAAGAGCAAGUCAAAUACCUAUUUCAUCCCAAGGAGCAUGAUUUUCCUGUGGUCCUGUUCCACCCCACAACCCCCUGUAUGGUCCUGAUCCACCCCACAGCCCCCUGUAUGGUCCUGAUCCACCCCACAGACCCCUGUAUGGUCCUGAUCCACCCCACAGCCCCCUGUAUGGUCCUGAUCCACCCCACAGACCCCUGUAUGGUCCUGGUCCACCCCACAGCCCCCUGUAUGGUCCUGAUCCACCCCACAGCCCCCUGUAUGGUCCUGUUCCACCCCACAACCCCCUGUAUGGUCCUGAUCCACCCCACAGCCCCCUGUAUGGUCCUGAUCCACCCCACAGACCCCUGUAUGGUCCUGAUCCACCCCACAGCCCCCUGUAUGGUCCUGAUCCACCCCACAGACCCCUGUAUGGUCCUGGUCCACCCCACAGCCCCCUGUAUGGUCCUGAUCCACCCCACAGCCCCCUGUAUGGUCCUGGUCCACCCNNNNNNNNNNCCUAUUCCCUAUAUAGUGCACUACUUUAGACCAGGGCCCUAUAGAACCCUAUUCCCUAUAUAGUGCACUACUUUAGACCAGGGCCCUAUAGAACCCUAUUCCUUUUUUAGCGUACUACUUUAGACCAGAGCCUUAUAUGGGUACUGUUCAAAAUAGUGCACUAAAUAAGGAAUACGGCGCCAUUUGGGAUGCAUUCUGAAUAAAUAUAUUAAGCUGUUUCUGAGCUUGAUCUCUUUUCUACACAAGAGAUAAUGGAAAUAGACACAAGAGACAAUGAAAUUAGACAAAGAGAUAAUGGAACUAGACACAAAAUAUAAUGAAAUCAGACAAAGAGAUAAUGGAUAGCUAGACCGCCUCACGAUGUCUCUCCGGUAUUAGCGUCACUAUUCUAUCCAAAAGGAAUGUUUACUGUGUGACACCUGCGAUGAAAUCCUGUUCAGGGACAUUGGUCCUUUGCGAUAACUGUAUUGUCUAACACAAUAAAGAGGUGUAAAAAUAAAGAGUAACAGAAACAUGCAGGUGUUCUUACCGAUGUAGAUACCUCUGUUAGAACAUGAUGCCAUUGUGUAAGGGGACCUCCCGCUGUAGCCGAGGGUUUUCCUGGAAAACACGGAGCAAAGGACUUCGUUACCCCCUGUAUGGUUCUGGUCCACCCCACAGCCCCCUGUAUCAUCCUAAUCCACCCCCUGUAUGGUCCUGUUCCACCCCACAACACCCUGUAUGGUUCUGGUCCACCCCCCAGCCCCCUGUGUGGUUCUGAUCCACCCCACAGCCCCCUGUAUGGUUCUGGUCCACCCCACAAUCCCCUGUAUGGUCCUGGUNNNNNNNNNNNNNNNNNNNNNNNNNNNNNNNNNNNNNNNNNNNNNNNNNNNNNNNNNNNNNNNNNNNNNNNNNNNNNNNNNNNNNNNNNNNNNNNNNNNNUAGGGCUCUGGUCUAAAGUAGUGCACUAUAUAGGGAAUAGGGUUCUGUAGGGCUCUGGUCUAAAGUAGUGCACUAUGUAGGGAAUAGGGUUCUAUAGGGCUCUGGUCUAAAGUAGUGUAUUAUAUAGGGAAUAGGGUUCUAUAGGGCUCUAGUCUAAAGUAGUGCAUUAUAUAGGGAAUAGGGUUCCAUAGGGCUCUGGUCUAAAGUAGUGCACUAUAUAGGGAAUAGGGUGCCAUUUGGGAAGCAGACUCCCACUCUGCAUAUUGAAAUGCAUUCACUGAGAAAGCUACUUACUUGAGAAGAUCAUGCCAGUACAGAUGAGGCAUCACGUCAGCUUUCAUGUGGUACAUGGUCCAUCUCUCUGUUAGGUAUGCGUAACUGGCUGUAAGGGAGUCAGGCGCAGGAGAGCAGAAGUUGGGUAGACAAAGGAGCCUUUUAUUUCGGUGAACAAAACACUCACGGCACUGAGAACACUAAACACAAUAUGGGUUUAACAUAACCCAGACAUAACCCAGUCUAGCGUGCACAUACACGAAACAACAAACAAUUCCUCACACAGACAUGGGGGGGGGAAACAGAGGGUUAUAUACAUGUCUAAUACUGAGGGAAUUUAAUCCAGGUGUGAUGGAAAACAAGACAAGACAAAUGGAAAAUUGAAAGGUGGAUCGGCGAUGGCUAGAAAAGCCGGUGACGUCGACCGUCGAACACUGCCCGAACAAGGAGUGGAACCGACUUUGGCGGGACGUCAUGACAGUACCCCCUCCCUCCCCCUUGACGCACGGCUCCAGCAGCGCGCCGACACCGGCCUUGGGGACGACCCGGAGGGCGAGGUGCAGGGCGGUCCGGACGGAGACGGUGGAACUCCCGCAGCAUUGAAGGGUCCAACACGUCCUCCACCGGAACCCAGCAUCUCUCCUCCGGACCGUACCCCUCUCAUUCCACGAGGUACUGAAGGCCCCACGCCCGACGCCUCGAAUCCAGUAUGGAGCGAAAGGCGUACGCCAGGGCCCACUCGAGGGGGCGGAGGAACCUCCCGCACCUCAGACUCUUGGAGCGGACCAGCCACCACCGGCCUGAGGAGAGACACAUGGAACGAAGGGUUAACGCGGUAAUCGGGGGGAGCUGUAAACUGAAACACAGUUUCCUCAGGACUUUGAACGGCCCCACAAACCGCAGACCCAGCUUCCGGCAGGUCAGGCGGAGGGGCAGGUUUCGGGUCGAGAGCCAGACCCGGUCCCCCAGUGAGAACACCGGGGCCUCACUGCGGUGACGGUCUG